GUGGGAUUUUUUACCCAGGAAAGCUUAUGCCCAAAUAAAUCUGUUAGUCUUUAAGGUGCCACCAGACUCCUCGUUGUUUUUGUGGAUACAGACUAAUGCAGCUACCCCUUUGAAGCUGUGGAUGUGAUCCAGAGGGAUUUUCAAGCUGGCAAACUCACCAAUACUGCUAGGAACCUGAUAUAUGGACUUUGAAGUCUUUGUAUGACUCAGCUGCCAGCUCACACAGCAAGUGCUGGGCCUUGUAACCAAGAGGGCAGCCAAUCAAAAGGAAUAAACCCAAACAAAGUCCAGCUCUGAAGUGGAAGGAGCCAUGAGAGUGCGACAGGCUGUGCAGCCACAUAUAUUCACGUUAAAGAACAGAGCCCGUUUGGCACCACAACCAGACAGCUUCCCAGAUGCUCCUCUUAUAACUGUCCCUGGCUUUUCCCCUCCUAUGGCUUCUGAGCUCUCAUAUGAGCUAGGAUCGGAAAGCAGGCUUGAUACACAGGUUAGUGGCUUUGUCGUGUUGAUGGGCAGUACCUCCCUCUCCAGGGCAGAGUUGCUGGAGGCUGCAAAGUCAGGGUUUCAUGGGGGAUGUUCUAGUCUUUGUCUUCUCUGUGCAAUGUCACCAGGCUCUCAGAUUCAGGAGUGUCUGUGCUGGUAUGUGUCCAUCUCAAUGCUUGUCUUCUGGAACUCUGGCUCAGGCUAGGGUGCGUGAGGCUGGUGCUGAGGGUGGGGGGUCUCUCCCUGGCCUCAUACUAGGAGCAAAGGCUGCACCAGCCUGGCUUUCACUUUGCUUUAUGGUAUUUCAAAUACUGAAGCAAAAAUAUACAGAUGAGUAAAGAGCAGUUUGUUUUCAGUGCCAAGGCAGACCUCCCUGCACUGUUCCCUAGUGUAACACCACUGAAGUUGGUGCUGUUACACCAGGGAUAAAAUUGGACCCUAAUAGCUUCCCAGUAAGCUCCGCUCCCAUUAUCCCCUCUCCCAUGCUGACCCCUUCCCCAUCACACCCUUCUUUCAUGUCACUUCUCAGCUCCUUCUUUUUUCAUGUUGGUCCCACCCCCUAAUUUAAACAGUGGAAGCUAAAACAAGAAUAGUGACAACUCGCUGGAGAAGGAAGGCUGGGAGUGGAGGUGGAGGUCCUGGGCUGCUGAGAGCUGAAAUGACAGGCCAGGAGUUGAAAGCCCUGGCCCCAGAAGGUGAAGAGGGACUGCUGGGAGGGGAGCCUGGGUGAAGUCCCAGCCUCAGAGGGAGAAAUGUGUCUCCAAUUAAUCUUCCUCCUGCAGCCGUUCACUUGGCUGGAUGUAGUUAUCUUCAAUGAAGCCAUCAUCAUCCUCCAGUUGCAGCCCAGCAGCACUAGGCAUGGAUUGGUUCUCCCCCCAGGCAGCCCCCCUCUCAGCAUGGCUGCCUCCCAUCGAGCUGGUGUCAGGCAGUGGCCGGUGGCGGUAGCUGGCGAAGUUCUUAUGGAAUAGUUUGCACUUUGCAGCCAGUGCAAUCAGGAUGGAGAUGCCAACAGCUGAUACAAGGAAGCCCACCAAGUAUGGCCAGCUGUUCCCUCCCUUCCCUGCAGAUGACAUGGUGGUUGCUGCAGUGGUGGUUGCUGCAGAGGAAAGAGAGACGGAGUAGGUCAGGGAAUCCCCCUGUCUCACCUGUAUCUUCCUGAUGGGUGAGGGAUUGCCAGGGCCUACUACCACAGACACAGGGUGAAUACUUGGGCUGAUGCUCCAUGAGCCACAAUGGUGCUGCUUAAUGAUGCCUAUCAGAAUGGUAGCAUUUUACACCCACUUCACAUUCUCUUUGCAUGAGUGCAAAUGAUUGCAUGGUGAAUUGGGCCCAGUGUGUUCAGAGCUGUGAUUCUGAAGUUGCCUGCGCAGUUUCAAUUUUCAGCCUAACAGAAAACACCAUUAAAGCAUGUACAGCUUUGUAUGAAA